CUCCAGACUCCUACGGGAGGCAGCAGUGGGGAAUAUUGGGCAAUGGGCGCAAGCCUGACCCAGCGACGCCGCGUGAGGGAAGACGGUCUUCGGAUUGUAAACCUCUUUCAGCAGGGAAGACAAAAGGACGGUACCUGCAGAAGAAGCCACGGCUAACUACGUGCCAGCAGCCGCGGUAAUACGUAGGGGGCAAGCGUUGUUCGGAAUGACUGGGCGUAAAGGGUGUGUAGGCGGUGUAGCAAGUUAGAAGUGAAAUACCUAGAGCUUAACUCAGGUGCUGCUUCUAAAACUGCUAUACUUGAGUGCAGUAGAGGAAAGUGGAAUUCCUAGUGUAGCGGUGGAAUGCGUAGAUAUUAGGAGGAACACCAGUGGCGAAGGCGGCUUGCUGGACAGUAACUGACGUUGAGGCUCGAAAGCGUGGGGAGCAAACAGGAUUAGAUACCCGUGUAUAG
rnacentral:rRNA from 1 species